GACGAACGCUGGCGGCGUGCUUAACACAUGCAAGUCGAACGGAGUGCCUAUGAUAGAGACUUCGGUCAAUGGAUUAGGUUACUUAGUGGCGGACUGGUGAGUAACGCGUGAGGAACCUGCCUUUCAGAGGGGGACAACAGUUGGAAACGACUGCUAAUACCGCAUGACACAUCGAUGGGGCAUCCCAUUGAUGUCAAAGAUUUAUCGCUGAAAGAUGGCCUCGCGUCUGAUUAGAUAGUUGGCGGGGUAACGGCCCACCAAGUCGACGAUCAGUAGGGGUUCUGAGAGGAAGGUCCCCCACAUUGGAACUGAGACACGGUCCAAACUCCUACGGGAGGCAGCAGUGAGGAAUAUUGGUCAAUGGGCGAGAGCCUGAACCAGCCAAGUAGCGUGCAGGAUGACGGCCCUAUGGGUUGUAAACUGCUUUUAUACGGGGAUAAAGUUCGCCACGUGUGGCGUUUUGCAGGUACCGCAUGAAUAAGGACCGGCUAAUU
rnacentral:rRNA from 1 species